CUAUUAUUCCAAUCACAACUCACGACUGGUAAGCUUGCACGAUCACCUCUCAACCAGCACAAUGAGUUGAGGUAUUGUAAAAGCUUACUGGUCGUUUUGAGCUGCAAAUUGAUUCGAU
rnacentral:precursor_RNA from 14 species